GGGGAACUGUUUACAUUUUAUGCGAAUGCCAACAUCCUAUUGUUAUUGUUUGUUAUGUUGCCAAGUCUACCGAAGAUUUGUCAAAGCCUUUGUUUAUUUUUAAUUUUGUAUACGUAUACUUUGGGGAAAUCUUAAGAAAAUAAUAAUAUAAUUAGCUUACUACAUUUGAAAAUUUCGAUAUUUAUAAUUUUAUUUAGUACUUAAUAAGAUUCAAGUCAAAGAUUACAAGAAAUAUUUGUAAAUUUCGUCAUUUUUACAUCAACCGUUAUGAUUAAUUUUUAAUCUGGCAAUGCCGCUCUGUUGUUAUAGUAUUUUCUAUAGUAGGGGAAUUGGACCAAUUGGACGUGGUCAACAGUGUUAAUAAACAGCUGAUUGGCAAGAUCAGCUUUUAUUUUUCCAUAUUUCUUAACUAUUAAUAAACUAUUAGUGUAUAAUUGUUUCAUUUUAUAUAAAGGACUAAAAUUAGCAUUUAAAAUGGGUCUACACUGGGAAAUAUGUAAGAAUUAAAGAAUUUAAACAUCGUGAAGUGUCAUUUCAAAAAUUUCUAAAAGAUAGUGAGAGAAAAAUUAAAUGGUUUUCCCUGUUAAGAUUUAUUCAUAGCAUGAUAUUAAAAAGUCGAGCAAAAGAGAGCUCAAAAACAGCUGAUUGUAAGGAAUUGAAGAAAAUAUUUAAAAACUGAUGAAUUUUCACAGCCAUUUAUGUCGCGAUUUAUGGUGUUUCAACUGUUUUAACAUCACCUAGGAAAUUAACAUUAAGACUGCAUUAAGAUAUUAGGAUCCUGCAGAUAACUAGAUAAGAAGUAUGAUCUUGUUAGCAUACCUAUUCCGUCAUAAUAUGAAGUGAAGAUAUUCAUGGUGUGGAAGUUGUUACUUUAAUUACAUAGUGCAUAUGAAAUUGGUCCUUUACAUCACAUUUAAAAUCGACGUA